UUUUUUAAGAGUUUGAUCCUGGCUCAGGAUGAAUGUUGGCGGCGUGCCUGAGAUAUGCAAGUCGAACGUCUUUUCUGCCGCAAGGUGGAAAGGUAGUGGCGGACGGCUGAGUAACACGUAGGGACUUACCUCUUUUUGAAGGAUAGCCCAUCGAAAGGUGGGAUAAUACUUCAUAGUAUGAAUACCGUAAGGUAUUUGUUAAAGGGAAUAACUUCUUGAAAAGAGAUGGACCUGCGGCUUAUCAGAUAGUUGGUGGGGUAACGGCCUACCAAGUCUACGACGAGUAGCUGGCCUGAGAAGGUGGUCAGCCAGAGGGGGACUGAGACACGGCCCCCACUCCUACGGGAGGCAGCAAUCAGGAAUAGUCGGCAAUGGACGAAAGUCUGACCGCGCGACGCCGCGUGUAGGAAUAAGCUCUAACGAGCGUAAACUACUGUGAUAGAGGAAGAAGUCCGCCAGCUGGCGGAUUGACGGUACUCUAUAAGAAAGGGGCCGCUAACUGCGUGCCAGAAGCGUCGGUAAUACGUGGGCCCCAAACAUUAUCCGGUUUUACUGGGUGUAAAAAGUAGUGUAGGUGUCUUGAUAAGUCUUGUUUUAAAUACUGUGGCUUAACCAUAGGAAAGGGCAGGAGACUGUUAAGAUAGAGUUUGCUUUAGGGAAACUGGAACUCAGGGAGGAGUAGUGAAAUGCGUUGAUACCCUGGGGAACACCAGUGGCGAAGGCGAGUUUCUGAAAGCAGACUGACACUGAGACACGAAAGCUAGGGGAGCGAAGCAGAUUAGAGACCUGCGUAGUCCUAGCCCUAAACGUAUGCUUGCUAGCCGCAUUUUCUACCAUUUGGUGGGAGGUGUAGCGAAGGUAACCCGUUAAGCAAGCCACCUGGGGAGUACGGCCGCAAGGUUGAAACUCAAAGGAAUUGGCGGGGAGGCACACAACCAGUGGAACAUGUGGUUUAAUUCGAAACGAACCGAAGAACCUCACCAGGGUUUGACAUGCUAUCGUACAUUCUGCUAGAAAUAGUGGGAAAUCCGCAAGGAUGAUAGCACAGGUGCUGCAUGGCUGUCGUCAGCUCGUUCCGUGAGGAGUACCCUUAAGUGGGACAACGAGCGCAACCCUUAUCUUGUGUUAUAUUUGUCACAAGAGACGGUCCCGACUUAGUCGGGAAGGAAGGUGGGGCAGACGUCAAGUCAGCAUGGUCCUUAUGCCCUGGGCUACACACAUGUUACAAUGGAUAGGAACAACGGGUUUUGCCACGAAGCAAUUCGGAGCAAAUCCCUGAAAUCUAUCCUCAGUGGGGAUUGAGGUCUGCAACUCGACCUCAUGAACACGGAAUUGGUAGUAAUCGCGGAUCAGUCAUGCCGCGGUGAAUACGUUCUUGCCUCUUGCACACACCGCCCGUCAAGCCAACAAAGUCGAUGAUAUUUGAAUCUCGAUAUAAUCGGGAGAGGAUAUUACCGGCGAUGGGGGUUAAGUCGUAACAAGGUAACCGUUCUGGAAGGAGCGGUUGGAUCACCUCCUUU
rnacentral:rRNA from 1 species